rnacentral:rRNA from 1 species
UACGUAGGAUGCAAGCGUUGUUCGGAAUUAUUGGGUGUAAAGGGCGCGUAGGUGGCUUGACAAGUCACGGGUGAAAGCCCUCGGCUCAACCGAGGAAUUGCCUGUGAUACUGUCGAGCUUGAGUACGGGAGAGGGAAGUGGAAUUCCUGGUGUAGCGGUGAAAUGCGUAGAUAUCAGGAGGAACACCGGUGGCGAAGGCGGCUUCCUGGACCGAUACUGACACUGAGGCGCGAAAGCGUGGGUAGCAAACAGG